GAUGAACGCUGGCGGCGUGCCUAACACAUGCAAGUCGAACGGAGUUAUGAAAUUUUCGGACGGAUUAACUUAGUGGCGGACGGGUGAGUAACGCGGGGGUAACCUGCCUCCUACAGGGGGAUGACAGUUGGAAACGACUGCGAAAACCGCAUAACAUUGCGAUGCCGCAUGGCGCUGCUAUUAAAUAUUUAUAGGUAUGAGAUGGGCCCGCGUCUGAUUAGCUAGUUGGUGAGGUAAUGGCUCACCAAGGCGACGAUCAGUAGCCGGCUUGAGAGAGUGACCGGCCACAUUGGGACUGAGACACGGCCCAAACUCCUACGGGAGGCAGCAGUGGGGAAUAUUGCACAAUGGGCGAAAGCCUGAUGCAGCGACGCCGCGUGAGUGAAGAAGUAUUUCGGUAUGUAAAGCUCUAUCAGCAGGGAAGAUAAUGACGGUACCUGACUAAGAAGCCCCGGCUAACUACGUGCCAGCCGCCGCCGUAA
rnacentral:rRNA from 1 species